rnacentral:lncRNA from 1 species
AUAGUUGCUGUUUAAAUAUGUUUAAAAAUUAACAGAUUCCAGCACAUUUUCAAAUGUUUGCCCCUUUGGAUUUUUGCAGGGUCGUCCUGGAGCUGAUGGUGCCAGAGGAAUGCCAGGAGAGCCUGGUGCAAAGGGUGACAGAGGAUUUGAUGGUCUUCCUGGCCUCCCUGGUGACAAAGGUAACAGGGGAGACCGUGGCCCACAGGGACCUCCUGGCUUACCUGGUGAAGAUGGAUCAAGAGUAAGUUCCUAUUUACUUGAGAUACACCAUAAAACUUGGACCAUGUAAUGGGAAUAUGGUCAUAAUGCAUGACUUUUUUCCUAAAACUCCUAUUCCCUUUGUACAAAAACAGGGAGAAGAUGGGGAAGUUGGACCAAGAGGUCUCCCAGGUGAAGCUGUAAGCAAUGCUUUUUUAUUUUUUUGUUUCUGGCCAAUAUUCUGUUUUACAAAUAAAAGUCACUCUCAGAUUUGUUUUCCUUUCUAU